AACAGUGGCAGGUGUCACCGGUGCUCCACCCCCCAGGCACUCCCCAUUACUCCCCGGUGCGUCCAGCCCCACCUUGCCGCUAACUAGAACAGCAGCCAAGAUUCUCCCACCCGAUUCUGGUCCCGGCUCUCUUGCCCUGUGUCCCUGCUGAAGGUCAACUAAAGUCUGUAAGAUUACCGACCCACCUAGAGGGGAGCUGCAAACAAUCACUGGACGGGAUUCAGAAGACCACACUGAGUCAAAAGACAACAAUGAGCACUGAUUACAAACACGAUGAUACCACAGUCAAACCGGUCGUUGGACAAGUGCAUUCAGUACAAAAAAUGAAUAUAAGAGAUUAUAGGAAAACAGAUCAGUUAUAUAAACUUAUUAUUUGAUACCACUACUGUAUCAUCAUACACUUGCUGUCUAUGUACUGAAUGGUUUGGUCCAUAGUCUAUUAUUACCUUUUCUGUAUUUGGGUGUAGUGAUUUAAAAUGUUUUGUUUAGUUAGUAAUUUCUCUGUCAUUACCUUGCUAGACAUUUCUUCCUAUUUGUCAUAAUUUAUAUUUAUAAUUAAACAUAAUAUGAACUUAUGUAGGUAUAACUGUCAUUGGACCAGAUGAAUCCCAUUUUCCGGACACUUAUGAGAAAUUAAUGAGCGUGUAAAAUGAUAGUCCAUACCUACAGUGUGUCGAUUGACUGAUUUGGCUUAACAACCAGUGUCCUAACUACAAGUAGUACUCUGUGUAGCUAUGCCCUAUUAAAGAUGAUUUGAAACUAGA